GAUGAACGCUAGCGGGAGGCCUAACACAUGCAAGCCGAGCGGUAUUUGUUCUUCGGAACAAAGAGAGCGGCGCACGGGUGCGGAACACGUGUGCAACCUGCCUUUAUCUGGGGGAUAGCCUUUCGAAAGGAAGAUUAAUACCCCAUAAUAUAUUGAGUGGCAUCACUUAAUAUUGAAAACUCCGGUGGAUAGAGAUGGGCACGCGCAAGAUUAGAUAGUUGGUGAGGUAACGGCUCACCAAGUCAAUGAUCUUUAGGGGGCCUGAGAGGGUGAUCCCCCACACUGGUACUGAGACACGGAACAGACUCCUACGGGAGGCAGCAGUGAGGGAUAUUGGACAAUGGGUUAGCGCCUGAUCCAGCCAUCCCGCGUGAAGGACGACGGCCCUAUGGGUUGUAAACUUCUUUUGUAUAGGGAUAAACCUACUCUCGUGAGAGUAGCUGAAGGUACUAUACGAAUAAGCACCGGCUAACUCCGUGCCAGCCGCCGCCGUAAGAC
rnacentral:rRNA from 1 species